GACCCGGAAGUGGUUUUUUAUUGUCGACGACCCUUAUGUAUAAGAAGGGACUGGGGCAGCUUCUGAACAUUUAAGCCAUCACAUGAAUUUUACUGAUGGACAGAAUAUUUCCCCAGUUGUUGCAGUGGCCGGCUGAGAGACUUGCAGCGUUCAGGUUUGUGUCGUUAGGGUUUGUGGUCCAGAGUGGUGUUGGAGUGUUUAAGACCAGGGUUGUUCAACGCUACACUUUGAUGCCGGUUCGGGUCCAUCUUUUCACGGCAACACUAAUAUUGGUCUUAUUUAGACCUGGGACUUCAGUGCAUAUCCCAACCAGUCAGAUGUUCUUGACUGGGGACAAUGAGCCUAAUUGCAUGAUGACAGUGCUGGGGCUGUGACAGAAAUGGAUUGAUUUACUGGUUUACUAGGGUGCCGUGUGUCCUGGGUGCCCUUGAUCACAUGGGGGCGGGGCGCGCCACUGAUUCGGUUUGUGCCGUAGCAAGUCAUGGAUCCCUCAUCCCUGCUGUAACUGACUCCCUGGGUGGAUCUUGGCACCUUGCUUUACACCACUGGCUGGUUCUGAAGACUUGGACCGGAUGAGUAAAGAAACGGACCCGGAGUAACCGCUCAUGUUUUGGCUCAUGGCUAUACUGUAGUUUCAAUGUUCUUGUCAACCAAAUACUUAAUAAAAAUCUGUGCGUUAAA